CCUUUUCUAACAUUCUCUAUGAUGAUAUGCACUGAGCUAUUCCACAUGCUUUCCAAUUAGGUGUCAAAUCGGAUGUCUGGAAACAAUCUGAAUUAGAGACAUGUUAAGAUGUAACAUAAUGAGAUAUCCUUAAGGGAUGAGAGAGAGAAAAAGUAGAAGAAAAAUAAAUCUAAUAAAGUGUAUAUUUUAAAUUACCUGAAUAAUUUGAUACCUAUGAUUUGG
rnacentral:lncRNA from 1 species